CCGGAUAAAUUCUAUAAGAUUGAUUUACAUACAAGUGUCAGGAAACUGACUUUAGCAGAAGCGGAAAUGACGUCUAUUCACACUCCAGUCAGGAGGUGGCGCCAAAAUCAAAAACAGACGCUACAGCACAUGGACUUCGCCAUUUUGCAUUGGACUGGAUCGUCAUCUCACUAGUUUACGAUCGCCAAAUUGUAGAGUAAAAUACACCUCACUACACAGAUGGUCUGUUGGAAUAUACAGCAUCAUUUCAUCGUCUAUAUGGUGGGACAACCUGC